CUUGGCUAAUCAGGGCAGCCGCCUGAUUGCAGGUUCCCAGCGGAGGUGCCUGGGUGGUGUCUGACACCUGUGUCUUAGCUCGCGCCUUCCCGGAGCUGCUUCCCCGGGAUUUUUUCCGGGCCGGAUUCGUGUCUCUGUGUCACCUCCCCCCGGCCCCUGAGCCCCCUCGGGCCGCCAGCUUGGCCCCUUGUCAUGCUGGACGAAGAUGUCCAACAGAUAAUCGAGGACAGUGGAAAUGCCGGCUUAGACUUCCUUAUGUAUUAUAUUGAUCCAUCAACUCUACUUCAGUAAAAAGAAGACCUGUAGCAGCCCAUCACAACGUAUUGUGUGUUCCCCAGUGUGUUAAUACUAAAGAGACCAGGAAUGCAGAUGUGCAGCAAUAUCCCCGGAGGCCUUUGAGACUGCAGCCUGCCAGGCUCCUCUGGUCCAUGCGGAUUCUCCAGGCAAGAAUACUGGAGUGUGUUGCCAUGCUCUCCUCCAGGGGAUCUUCCCAACCCAGGGAUUGAACCAACGCAACGUCUCCUGCAUUGCGAGCGGAUUCUUUACCAUCUGAGCGACCAGGGAAGCCCAUUUUAGCAUUUUGGACCUGGGCAUAAAAUAAACUUAUAGUAGGUUUUUACAGGACAAUUUGAGUCUCUGGAGUGGUUUCAGGUCCUCAGGAGGCCUGGUGUGCUGUGGUCUGUGGGGUCACAAAGAGAUGGACACGACUGAGCAACUAAACUGAACUGAACUGAACUGAAGAUAGUCCUCACUGCCCAACAAUUGUUCAUCCAGCUGCUCAGAGGGCCAUAUGCCCUCACCUCUGGAUUAAUUCUUACCCCCUGUGCUUUUAAAUGGAUACACCUAGUGUUAGUCGCUCAGUUAUGUCCAACUCUUUGCUUCGCCAUGGACUGUAGCCCUCCAGAUUCCUCUGUUCAUGGGAUUCUCCAGGCAAGAAUGCUGGAGUGGGUAGCCAUUCCCUCCUCCAGCGGAUCUUCCCGACCCAGGGAUGGAGCCUGGGCCUCAUGCGUUGCAGGCAGAUUCUUUACCAUCUGAUAUACCAAUUAACACCUUAGUAAUAACCAGUCUGUAACAUUAGAGGCUUGAAUUUUUUUAAUUUAUUUUUCAAUAUAUUUUUAUUGAGAUAUCAUUUACAAGCUGAAAGAUAUGCUUCAGUGUUACAGUUCCAUUUUCAGAGUCCUGAUAAAUGUAUAUACCUGUGUAAUCUACGCCUCUGUUAAGACAGACCAUUUUCAUCACCCCCAUAAACUCCAGGCCCCAUCCCAGUCCAUCCCCCACCCCAAGCAUCCAGUAUUCUGGUUUAUUUCACCAGAGAUUAGAUUUGCCUCUUGUAAAGCUUACACAUGAAAUAACACAGUAUGUACUCUUCUGUAUGGUAUUUUUUUUGCUCAGCAUAAUGUUUUUAAACUUCAUCCAUGGUGUUGUCUGUGUUCAUUGUUUAUCCAUCCUCCUGUUGAUGGACAUUUGGGCUGUAUCCAGUGUGGGGUUAUUAUGAAUAAAGCUGCUGUGGAUACUAGUGUUCAAGCCCUUUUGUAGCCAUAUGUCCUCAUCCUCUUAGAUGAG